rnacentral:rRNA from 1 species
UACGAAGGGAGCUAGCGUUGUUCGGAAUUACUGGGCGUAAAGGGUGCGUAGGCUGUCUGCUCAGUCAGAUGUGAAAGCCCCGGGCUUAACCCGGGAAUUGCAUUUGAUACUGGCAGGCUUGAGUUCGGGAGAGGUGAGUGGAAUUCCCAGUGUAGAGGUGAAAUUCGUAGAUAUUGGGAAGAAUAUCAGUGGCGAAGGCGGCUCACUGGACCGAAACUGACGCUGAGGCACGAAAGCGUGGGGAGCAAACAGG